UUUCUAGAUUUCUGUUCUUAAUAUUUUCAUUCUCGGCAGGUUAUGAACGAAGAUCUUCCUCUGCUCAAAUCAAUAGAGAAUCCAAGAAAGGAAAAAUUUGGCAGAACAUGGGGAAAACUUGCUGUAAAAUAGUAGAAAAUAAUUGCUUUAAGUGUUUCAUUGGCCUUGUUACUCUACUCAGCACAGGUGCUCUGGCUUUUGAAGAUAUAUAUAUUGAUCAGAGAAAGACUAUUAAAAUCUUAUUGGAA